AAGUCGUAACAAGGUUUCCGUAGGUGAACCUGCGGAAGGAUCAUUAUCGAUUCUAUCACACCUUAAAACAACUGUGAACUGUUUUCUCUGCCUCUUCGUGUUUUGGACCUUUUUUUUUUCGAAAAGAGGACCGGAAUACGAAGUUGUACGUUGACUUCCCCUCGUUUUCUCUUCGGAGAAUUCGCGCGGGAGGUUACCACAUUCAUUUAUUUAAAACCCCUUUCUUUAAACGUUUGAUUUUGUUUUUAUUUUGGAAAUGCUUUUUGGGCGAACGUCCAAAACGUUUUCAUUUAAAAAAUAAAAAACACAAUACAACUCUUAGCAACGGAUCUCUCGGCUCUUGUAACGAUGAAGAACGCAC
rnacentral:misc_RNA from 1 species